UACGAAGGGGGCUAGCGUUGUUCGGAAUUACUGGGCGUAAAGCGCACGUAGGCGGACUUUUAAGUCAGGGGUGAAAUCCCGGGGCUCAACCCCGGAACUGCCUUUGAUACUGCAAGUCUGGAGGUCGAGAGAGGUGAGUGGAAUUCCGAGUGUAGAGGUGAAAUUCGUAGAGAUUCGGAGGAACACCAGUGGCGAAGGCGGCUCACUGGCUCGAUACUGACGCUGAGGUGCGAAAGAGUGGGGAGCAAACAGG
rnacentral:rRNA from 1 species